AAGGUGGCGGAAUUGGUAGACGCGCUAGCUUCAGGUGUUAGUGUCUUAACGGACGUGAGGGUUCAAGUCCCUCUCUUCGCACCA
rnacentral:tRNA from 1 species